rnacentral:rRNA from 1 species
UACGUAGGUGGCAAGCGUUGUCCGGAUUUAUUGGGCGUAAAGGGAGCGCAGGCGGUGACUUAAGUCUGAUGUGAAAGCCCACGGCUCAACCGUGGAAGGUCAUUGGAAACUGGGUCACUUGAAUAUAGAAGAGGAAAGUGGAAUUCCAUGUGUAGCGGUGAAAUGCGCAGAGAUAUGGAGGAACACCAGUGGCGAAGGCGGCUCUCUGGUCUGUAACUGACGCUGAUGUGCGAAAGCGUGGGGAUCAAACAGGAUUA